CAUAGGCAAUGGCUUGAUUAAGAGAACACACCAGAGCCGUAGCGAAAGCGAGUCUUCAUAGGUCAAUUGUCAUUGCUUAUGGACCCAAACUUGGGUGAUCUAUCCAUGACCAGGAUGAAGCUUAGGUGAAACUAAGUGGAGGUUCGAACCGACUAAUAUUGAAUAAUCAACGAAUGAGUUGUGAUUAGGGGUGAAAUGCCACUCGAACCCAGAGCUAGCUGG
rfam:Gossypium arboreum cultivar AKA8401 contig_41998_1, whole genome shotgun sequence.